rnacentral:rRNA from 1 species
GAGCGUAGGCCGUCUGUUAAGCGUGUUGUGAAAUGUCGGGGCUCAACCUGGGCAUUGCAGCGCGAACUGGCAGACUUGAGUGCGCAGGAAGUAGGCGGAAUUCGUCGUGUAGCGGUGAAAUGCUUAGAUAUGACGAAGAACUCCGAUUGCGAAGGCAGCCUGCUGUAGCGUAACUGACGCUGAAGCUCGAAAGCGUGGGUAUCGAACAGGAUUAGAUACCCUGGUAGUCCACGCGGUAAACGAUGGGUGCUCGCUGUUUGCGUCUGACGUAAGCGGCCAAGCGAAAGCGUUAAGCAUCCCACCUGGGGAGUACGCCGGCAACGGUGAAACUCAAAGGAAUUGACGGGGGCCCGCACAAGCGGAGGAACAUGUGGUUUAAUUCGAUGAUACGCGAGGAACCUUACCCGGGCUUGAACUGCAGGCGGACGAUUCAGAGAUGUUGAGGCCCUUCGGGGCGCCUGUGGAGGUGCUGCAUGGUUGUCGUCAGCUCGUGCCGUGAGGUGUCGGCUUAAGUGCCAUAACGAGCGCAACCCCUGUUCUCAGUUGCCAUCGGGUGAUGCCGGGCACUCUGUGAAGACUGCCUCCGCAAGGAGUGAGGAAGGUGGGGAUGACGUCAAAUCAGCACGGCCCUUACGUCCGGGGCUACACACGUGUUACAAUGGCAUGUACAGAAAGCUGGCCGUAUGCAAAUACGGUCUAAUCCCUAAAACAUGUCUCAGUUCGGACUGGGGUCUGCAACCCGACCCCACGAAGCUGGAUUCGCUAGUAAUCGCGCAUCAGCCAUGGCGCGGUGAUACGUUCCCGGGCUUGCACUCACCGCCCGU